GGAGUUGUGGCUCAGUGGUAGAGCGCUCACCUAGCACAUGUGAGGCCCUGGGUUCAAUCCUCAGCACCA
rfam:Ictidomys tridecemlineatus contig019916, whole genome shotgun sequence.